GCCGGGGUGGUGAAACUGGUAGACACGUUGGAUUCAAAAUCCAAUUUCUUCGGAAGUGCCGGUUCGAUUCCGGCCCUCGGUACCA
rnacentral:tRNA from 2 species